GCAAGUCGAGCGCACCCUUCGGGGUGAGUGGCGCACGGGUGCGUAACGCGUGGGAAUAUACCCUUGAGUGAAGAAUAACUGCUGGAAACGGUAGCUAAUACUUCAUAAUGACUUCGGUCCAAAGAUUUAUCGCUCAAGGAUUAGCCCGCGUCUGAUUAGAUAGUUGGUGAGGUAAUGGCUCACCAAGUCUACGAUCAGUAGGGGGUCUGAGAGGAUGAUC
rnacentral:rRNA from 1 species